AGAGUUUGAUUAUGGCUCAGGAUGAACGCUGACAGAAUGCUUAACACAUGCAAGUCUACUUGAUCCUUCGGGUGAAGGUGGCGGACGGGUGAGUAACGCGUAAAGAACUUGCCUUACAGACUGGGACAACAUUUGGAAACGAAUGCUAAUACCGGAUAUUAUGAUUGGGUCGCAUGAUCUGGUUAUGAAAGCUAUAUGCGCUGUGAGAGAGCUUUGCGUCCCAUUAGUUAGUUGGUGAGGUAACGGCUCACCAAGACGAUGAUGGGUAGCCGGCCUGAGAGGGUGAACGGCCACAAGGGGACUGAGACACGGCCCUUACUCCUAUGGGAGGCAGCAGUGGGGAAUAUUGGACAAUGGACCAAAAGUCUGAUCCAGCAAAUUCUGUGUGCACGAUGAAGUUUUUCGGAAUGUAAAGUGCUUUCAGUUGGGAAGAAGUCAGUGACGGUACCAACAGAAGAAGCGACGGCUAAAUACGUGCCAGCAGCCGC
rnacentral:rRNA from 1 species